rnacentral:rRNA from 1 species
GAUGAACGCUAGCUACAGGCUUAACACAUGCAAGUCGAGGGGAAACGAUAGAGAAAGCUUGCUUUUUCUAGGCGUCGACCGGCGCACGGGUGAGUAACGCGUAUCCAACCUGCCCAUCACUUGGGGAUAACCUUGCGAAAGUAAGACUAAUACCCAAUGACGUCCAUAGAAGACAUCUGAAAUGGAUUAAAGAUUUAUCGGUGAUGGAUGGGGAUGCGUCUGAUUAGCUUGUUGGCGGGGUAACGGCCCCCCAAGGCGACGAUCAGCAGGGGGUCAGGGGCGAAGGUCCCCCACAUGGGAACUGAGACCCGGUCUAAACUCCUACGAGGGGCGGCAGUGAGGAAUAUUGGUACAUGGACGAGAGUCUGAACCAGCCAAGUAGCUUGCAGGAUGACGGCCCUAUGGGUUGUAAACUGCUUUUAUAAGGGAAUAAAGUGGGAGUCGUGACUCCUUUUGCAUGUACCUUAUGAAUAAGGACCGGCUAAUUCCGUGCCAGCAGCCGCCGUAA